rnacentral:rRNA from 1 species
CACGUAGGGCGCAAGCGUUGUCCGGAAUUAUUGGGCGUAAAGAGCUCGUAGGCGGUCUGUCGCGUCGGAUGUGAAAACCCAGGGCUCAACCCUGGGCCUGCAUUCGAUACGGGCAGACUAGAGUUCGGUAGGGGAGACUGGAAUUCCUGGUGUAGCGGUGAAAUGCGCAGAUAUCAGGAGGAACACCGGUGGCGAAGGCGGGACUCUGGGCCGAUACUGACGCUGAGGAGCGAAAGCGUGGGGAGCGAACAGG